rnacentral:rRNA from 1 species
UACGAAGGGGGCUAGCGUUGCUCGGAAUUACUGGGCGUAAAGGGCGCGUAGGCGGACAGUUUAGUCAGAGGUGAAAGCCCAGGGCUCAACCUUGGAAUUGCCUUUGAUACUGGCUGUCUUGAGUUCGGGAGAGGUGAGUGGAAUGCCGAGUGUAGAGGUGAAAUUCGUAGAUAUUCGGCGGAACACCAGUGGCGAAGGCGGCUACCUGGACCAGCACUGACACUGAGGCACGAAAGCGUGGGGAGCAAACAGG